AGUGAACGCUGGCGGUAGGCCUAACACAUGCAAGUCGAACGGCAGCACCGUAUGUGCUGGCGCUUGCGGGUGUCGAGUGGCGGACGGUUGCGGUAUACAUCGGAAUAUACCUUUUCGUGGGGGCUAACGUAGGGAAACUUACGCUGAUCACGCAUUCGACCUACGUGGGUGGGCAGGGGAUCUUUGGACCUUGUGGGAGGGAAUGAGCCGAUGUCGGAUGAGAUAGUUGGCGGGGUAAAGGCGUAGGUCGGCGACGAUGGGUAGCGGGUCUGAGAGGAUGUUCAGCCACCCUGGAACAGAGACAGGGUCCAGACUCCUGCGGUAGGCAGCAGUGCGGAAUACUGGACAAUGGAGGAAAGCCUGAUACAGCCAUACGGCGUGAGUGAAGAAGCAGUUAGGGUUGUAAAGCCAUUUUGUUGGUAGAGAAAUGCAGCAGGUUAAUACGCCGCUAUAAUGACGGUACCGAGAGAAUAAGCUCCGGCUAACUUCGUG
rnacentral:rRNA from 1 species